rnacentral:rRNA from 1 species
GAUGAACGCUGGCGGCGUGCUUAACACAUGCAAGUCGAACGGAAAGGCCCAAGCUUGCUUGGGUACUCGAGUGGCGAACGGGUGAGUAACACGUGGGUGAUCUGCCCUGCACUUCGGGAUAAGCCUGGGAAACUGAGUCUAAUACCGGAUAGGACCACAUUUUGGAUGGUGUGGUGGAAAGUUUUUCGGUGUGGGAUGAGCUAGCGGCCUAUCAGCUUGUUGGUGGGGUAAUGGCCUACCAGGGCGUCGACGGGCAGCCGGCCUGAGAGGGUGUACGGCCACAUUGGGACUGAGAUUCGGCCCCGGCUCCUACUGGUGGCAGCGGUGGGGGAUAUUGCUCUAUGGGCGCGAGCCUGAUGCAGCGACGCCGCGUGGGGGAUGACGGCCUUCGGGUUGUAAACUCCCUUCGCUAGGGACGAAGCGUUAUGUGACGGUACCUGGAGAAGAAGCACCGGCUAACUACGUG